rnacentral:lncRNA from 1 species
GGGGAGAGGUUCAUGUCCCAAGUCACGUAUCUAAAAAUGUGCAGAUUGCUUGACUAGAAGGUCCAAUAAUAUUGAGAUCUUAACCACUGUGUGAUAAUACCAUUCUCAGCACAGUCAGCGAUGCUGAUAGUGUCCCUCUCCACUGAAACAGGACAUCUUUAAACAUCUCAUCAAUCCUUGAUUCCAACAAAGCUAUUGAUCUUUUAGUCUAGAACCGAAACUUCACCUAUUGUACUCCAUAUUAUCCCUGAACUCUGGCUGAAUCUGAAUCAAAUAUUUCAGAAAUAUGUCCAGUCAGGUUUCUCAAAAUUCUAGCAGUAGGAAUUACACCACAUCUACCUCAAAUUGCUCCAGGAGAUAGGCAUAUUCACAAUUUAAAAUAUCUGUAACUUGUUUAAAGUUUUUAUUUGCCUAGCAAAAAUCCCAGGCCUGAGUUUUGUGCCGUCACAUUAAAGAGCUGUUGUUUAUCUGAAGUUUUCCUACAUGUAGGUAUCUGUAGGCAAUAAGGAAAUCACAUCUGCAACUUGAACAAUUUAAUGUCAUUUGUUCAUGUUUCUACCUGUUCUCCACACUACAGCUUAGAGUCUUUCAAAACUUUUUCAGCUUUUCAGAAGAAUUCUCAAAAACAGGACCUCAGAGCUGAAGGGUUCCAGUGAUGGCCUUGCCAUGACACAGACACCUUGCCUUUCCUCCUACCUGUGCCUUUGCUGAUACCUCCCUAGGUCACAUUAGCUCUUUGGCUAACUACCUCAGUGGACAUGCCUAUCCUGCUAAUUGUACUUUCCUCUUAAGACCUUUGCAGUGUCAGCAUAACAGUGUCCUUUCUCAAAAGUGAGAUCUACAUUCUUUGUUUCAAAAUCCAGUCUUCAGUUGUCUUCAAAGGCUCACAACUCAGAUCAACCUACUUACAGAAACAAUCCAACUUAUUCCAUAGGCCUAGCUUGUCCCUCUCUUGGCUUACAUACCCAGCUUGAGGGCGCCUGGAAAUUUUGAAAGUGAUAAUUUUCUAUUUUCUCCCCGUUGAUUGAUACAAGUAUCAAUGCAGGUAUUAAGAAUGCCUUUAAUUUACUCACAAGGUACGUGUUUGAUAAGAAAAAGCACAUUUACAGGGACGAUUAGCAGGAAAAAAGACUGACAUCUGCCUGUAAUCCAAACCAGUUCAGUGCACAAGAGAGAGGACCAACAUAGAAAAGCAGAUACUUUUGCUUUUACUCUGUACAGACAAUCCAAUUCUGACACUUUAGACAACAAAACAUUUUAAAUUCCCAGUACCUCCACCCACCACAGUUGGUGGGUUGCUCCUUUACCACAGUUCCUCAUUCAGAAAUAGCUUUUUGUCUUCAUAAGCUACAUAUUCUUACUCUUUAUUUAAGUGAGACAAUCCAGUUUCAAAGCAGCAACUCAAUUCCAUCUUCUUUAAACACAAUGGAAACUUUCCAGAUAGUGCAUUAGACACAGGAUGAGAUUCAUGAGAUCUUACUCUUUAUUGUAAUUUUCCAAAUGUGUAUUUAUAAAGUGUGUACUAAAUUUCAAAGCUGAUUGUUUAUGCAGGACAAUUUUGAUAUCAAUGGCCCCAGACAGAGAUCCUGAGACUUUCAGAAGUUUAAAGCAGGAAAAAUAUUCAAAUUCAAAGGCAGCUAAUCUUUCUUUGUCAUUUUUACUGCUGUUUUCAGUAAACAGAAAGCUUGAAAAGCAGUUAAUUAGAUCAAACAGAUCAGUUCUGAAAGCAACAAGUGAUUGCCACCAUCCACUCCCAGACACACAGCUAACCAUGCUGACCGUUGGCAGCCCAAAAGUGAUUACCCAAAACUGAUCAGCCCUUGAAAAAAUCAUUUUUCAGUCUUCCACACUCCACAUUUGUUCAUGGCACGAGCCAGCCUCUGUGAGGUUAUCCUGAAAGUAAAACAAAGACAUGGCAAUUAUUCAGGCAUGCUGAUGCUGAAACACAUGGUUCUUCCCUGAAGGGAGAAAUCAGACUCCAAUCUACAAAACAAGCAAGCUGCUUCUCUCGGGGCUUGCAAAAAGAUAAACAGGGGGAUCAAAAGAAUGUUUGAACUCAGCAGAUGUUCAGUGCCACUAAGGGAUAAUUCAUGACACCUUAGGAGUAUAUUCUGCUAGGAGAAUAUAUUCUACGCUACACAGCAGAAUCACAGUGCCCUACUAUUCACAUGGAAAGAAAUCAGUUAGUCCAUCAAAAACCAGGAUGGUUAUGUGUUUUAUUCCCCUGCCCUGAGCUGAAAGUAUUUUAUAAACUUUCUUUCCGCCAUCCAAAUUUUGCAUCAAUAUUCACAAAUCACCUGGGGAAAAAUAUGAAAAGUUAUAGAAAUGUUUUAAUUAAAUAAAAUAGUGAAAUGAAUCCCUGAAGUGAAUGGCAGAGAAGUUAGAAUGAAGACAGAACACAAAAAUUACUAGAAUACUGGAAAACAGAAGGAAAUAAUUAUGAUUAAGCAAUGAAAAAGACUCCCUGUAGCACAUAUAAUAAUGAAACCAUUUACAGAUUACUAAGAAAACAUUCCAUGACCAUAAUUGAGGGUAUCUAUCAUUUUAUGGGCGCAAAAUUCGGAAUAUCUGCAGCAAAACCUUAAGGGGGCAGAGUUCAAUCCCUUUCUAGUUGAAUGUGGUCUCAAAGUACCCCAUGUUCCUGUUACAAGCUGCUGGGAAAAACAUUGCAAUACACACAUUGCAAGCUUUCACUUUUCCAAAAGAAUGUUUCAUUCAUGGUUGGCAACUCUCUAUUUUUAAAUUCUCAAUUUAAAGUAAAUAAUUAAUUUACAUUGUCUUAUAUUUCUUCUCUCCUGGCAUUUACUAUAGAUUUUUAUUUGGAGUGAAAAGUGGGGGUUCAGUUCUCAUAUUUUUACGCUUGUUACUUUACACAGGCUUCUCUCUAUGGUACAUGAUAGCUCUGGUCUUCUGUAGACUUAUUUUGCUAUCACACCUGUGCCCAGAAGUGCUAGAAAACUGCCAUAUUGUUUGGGAGAAAGUUGGUUAAAUCUACUCAUGGCCCCACAGAGCAAGAGAUCUAAUUUAUCAUCUGGAAUACAGUUGAGUUGCCAGGAUCACCAGCUGUUCUAAACGUAAAGCAGGUAGCUUCCACACAUUCCUCCAUUUCUCCUAGAGAUAAUUUUUUUUACAAAUCAGAAUGGGAAUUGUGGGAAUUCCAUUUGUAUAUCAAGCAUAGGAUUCAGUCAUCCAAUCCCAUCCCCCUUGCUCAAUUUUGAGAAAUCACCAGUGAUUAAGAAACAUUUUUGCACAGAGACGUGGGAGCAGCUCUUUACAAUCUCACUCGGAAGCAACUGUGUUUCCAGCCAGUUUCUUUCUCCAAAGUAGUAUAGAAAUUGCAGUGUCAGAAGUUUGAAAGAACACAGAAAAAAAAAAAAUCAUUAAGUAAUUUUUUCAUUUAUUAAUCUACCAUAGAUGAGAAUAGCAGUAACCCAUUUGCUGCAUUUUAUAUAGCUGAGCCACUCUUUUCUCAACUGCAUUGCUACAAACAGUUUGAAAGCAUGUUAGAGAAAGAAAUGUAUACUAACAGAGAAAUGCUUUAAUCAGAGAUUGUAAAAAAAAACAGAAUGCCAGAUGUAAAGGCUGUAGUUAUGCCAUUAGCUUUACCUCACAACAAUUUGUCCAGGGUAAUGCCGAGUUUCAUGUAAAAAAUCAAUGGUUCAAUCUUGCCCUGUAAACAUCAGGCAGCAUAGCUGUCUACAGCAUUCUGGCAGAUUCAGGACAAGAUGGAUGAUUCUUUCUUUGAAAUUUGCUCUCUGAAAGCAGAAAAAUGACCAGAGGGUAGCAUAUUAAAAACAGCACAGUCUUAA